GACGAACGCUGGCGGCGUGCUUAACACAUGCCAGUCGAACGAUGAAGAAGAGAAACGCGAACUUCGGUUCAAAUUUCACUUCGGAUUAGUGGCAGACGGGUGAGUAACGCGUGAGCAACCUACCUCUUACAAAGGGAUAGCCUCGGGAAACCGUGAUUAAUACCAUAUGACACAUUCAUAAGGCAUCUUAAGAAUGUUAAAGCUACGGCGGUAAGAGAUGGGCUCGCGUCCCAUUAGCUAGUUGGUGAGGUAACGGCCCACCAAGGCGACGAUGGGUAACCGGCCUGAGAGGGGGAACGGUCACAUUGGAACUGAGACACGGUCCAAACUCCUACGGGAGGCAGCAGUGGGGAAUAUUGCACAAUGGAGGGAACUCUGAUGCAGCGACGCCGCGUGAGCGAUGAAGGAAUUCGUUUCGUAAAGCUCUGUUCUAUGGGAAGAAAAGGACUGUACCAUAGGAGAAAGCCCCGGCUAAAUACGUG
rnacentral:rRNA from 1 species